GACGAACGCUGGCGGCGUGCUUAACACAUGCAAGUCGAACGGAAAGGCCCUGCUUUUGUGGGGUGCUCGAGUGGCGAACGGGUGAGUAACACGUGAGUAACCUGCCCUUGACUUUGGGAUAACUUCAGGAAACUGGGGCUAAUACCGGAUAGGAGCUCCUGCAGCAUGGUGGGGGUUGGAAAGUUUCGGCGGUUGGGGAUGGACUCGCGGCUUAUCAGCUUGUUGGUGGGGUAGUGGCUUACCAAGGCUUUGACGGGUAGCCGGCCUGAGAGGGUGACCGGCCACAUUGGGACUGAGAUACGGCCCAGACUCCUACGGGAGGCAGCAGUGGGGAAUAUUGCACAAUGGGCGGAAGCCUGAUGCAGCAACGCCGCGUGCGGGAUGACGGCCUUCGGGUUGUAAACCGCUUUCGCCUGUGACGAAGCGUGAGUGACGGUAAUGGGUAAAGAAGCACCGGCUAACUACGUGCCAGCAGCCGCGGUGAUACGUAGGGUGCGAGCGUUGUCCGGAUUUAUUGGGCGUAAAGGGCUCGUAGGUGGUUGAUCGCGUCGGAAGUGUAAUCUUGGGGCUUAACCCUGAGCGUGCUUUCGAUACGGGUUGACUUGAGGAAGGUAGGGGAGAAUGGAAUUCCUGGUGGGGCGGUGGAAUGCGCAGAUAUCAGGAGGAACACCAGUGGCGAAGGCGGUUCUCUGGGCCUUUCCUGACGCUGAGGAGCGAAAGCGUGGGGAGCGAACAGGCUUAGAUACCCUGGUAGUCCACGCUGUAAACGGUGGGUACUAGGUGUGGGGUCCAUUCCACGGGUUCCGUGCCGUAGCUAACGCUUUAAGUACCCCGCCUGGGGAGUACGGCCGCAAGGCUAAAACUCAAAGGAAUUGACGGGGCCCCGCACAAGCGGCGGAGCAUGCGGAUUAAUUCGAUGCAACGCGUAGAACCUUACCUGGGUUUGACAUGGAUCGGGAGCGCUCAGAGAUGGGUGUGCCUCUUUUGGGGUCGGUUCACAGGUGGUGCAUGGCUGUCGUCAGCUCGUGUCGUGAGAUGUUGGGUUAAGUCCCGCAACGAGCGCAACCCUUGUUCACUGUUGCCAGCACGUUAUGGUGGGGACUCAGUGGAGACCGCCGGGGUCAACUCGGAGGAAGGUGGGGAUGACGUCAAGUCAUCAUGCCCCUUAUGUCCAGGGCUUCACGCAUGCUACAAUGGCUGGUACAGAGAGUGGCGAGCCUGUGAGGGUGAGCGAAUCUCGGAAAGCCGGUCUCAGUUCGGAUUGGGGUCUGCAACUCGACCUCAUGAAGUCGGAGUCGCUAGUAAUCGCAGAUCGGCAACGCUGCGGUGAAUACGUUCCCGGGGCU
rnacentral:rRNA from 1 species